rnacentral:lncRNA from 1 species
AACACAAAUCAUAUAUAUAAACAAAGAGUAAUAUAGCAUGCACUAACAAACAAUUACUCAAGCUAAAGUAUAUAUAUAAUUUUGAACCAAACACCACACUUUUGAGACGAUGGCUUUUGAAGUAUUCACGUACUAAUAGAUUCUAUAUAAUACCAAGAUUCUAUAUAAGGCAUGAUAUAUCCUAUCAGAGAAAAACAAUUAUUAUCAUUCAUAUAAUAGGACUAAAAGUUUAAAUUCACUACAUUUUCAAAUGUCUCUACGAAGUAAAGCUUGUACAAAAUCAUCCUUUUCAUCACUUGGUGCAACAAAGAACAAUAUCAUGAGAUUCUCAUUAUAGGCCAUCUUCUUCGUAACUUGAUACCUUUGCACUUUGAAAAUUCCAAAAAUAUUGGAAAACUCCUCAUUGAGUUUCUUUUUUUGCUCCAUCAGAUUGUACUCACAAAUUGCUUUGACUAAACAUUUAGGUAGUUUCAUGAAGUUGAGUAGCUAUCAUCCUUGAAGCACAAAUAGCCUCUGCAACUGGAUCCAUACUUCUACUUAUUUUCUUUGAAGAUUUCUUGCUUGUAGACUCAUCAGAAUUAGUGCCAUGUAUCAUGGAUGAGCUAUCAAAAUUAAGAUCCUGAAGCCCAUCUUCAGCACCUUGAAGAAAUAGCAUCUUCUUUAUCAAGAUUUUUACAUGUCUAAGUUCUAAUAAAAUAAACAUUACUCUAAUAAUUCUAGCAACAUGACAAUGUCUGGUCUGGCAAGCACAAUACCCAUGAUCACAAAGAUAGUGAGAACUCAGCGCAUUCUCAGCCACUCAUCCAAUUAGCAAGAAGAACUCUGUAAUUGGGCAGUACUCAAAUGGGUUUAGACUCAUUUCUACCAUUAAAGUUGCAUAGCAAAGCUCUGGUGUAGUAGGAGAUGAUGAUGAAAUGAAACAAGAACCACCAGAUUAUAAUAAGACAAUUGUCCAAGUCAAAGCAGAGCUUUAUAAUGCAUUACAAGGUACAUAGUAUUUUGAGCUCCCCAGUUUUUCACUUGCAAGCUUACAAGAAAUCUGAGCAUGGAAAAACAAUUAGUUUUUGCAGGAAUACUGAGCAAUAAGGCUGAAAAAUAAAACCAAGUGUAUGAUGACCGAAUUACAAACAUUAUGCCUUAACAAAUUUAACAUGCAAAAGAAUAUGCUAAAUAAAUGAAAUAAUUAAAUAUAUGUAGUAUAUUUAUAAAAUAUAUAGUUACAUCCAAAAUAAUAUUUCUAUUAGUUACACAUAAAUCAUCUAGGUUAAAUCUUGCAAUGCUUACUGUUAGGAUAAAAUUCUUUGCAUUAACUUAUGGUAUUCUGUGUGUGCAGUUACAGUGAGUGAAGUAGAGGCCUUGUACGAGCUAUUUAAGUAGUUUACUCUACUUUGUCACAUUAUUUUUCAUACUCUCAUUCUAAAUACAGAUUACUUAAUGCCUUUAAAACAGACAUUUAGGGCCGUUCCUGAGAUUUUGGUGAUCUUGGGCGAAAAAUGAAAACGAGACCCUCCUCGAAAUAUUGUCUUCACCAAAAAAAAUGUAAAAAUAAAUAAAUAAAAAGUACAAGUUGUAUCCAAAAAAGUGUCUUUCCGGAGCUUAAAACAUAAUAGUUCGACUAAAGCAAAAUAUAUGAGAAUUUCGACUGCAGCAAAUUAUAUGAAAAGUUCGACUACAACAAAAUAUAUGAGAAUACAUUCAUUAAAAGAUGUUAGUUUUAUGUUUAACUUAGUUGUCAAGUGGUUAGUUAUCACCACGUCUGUAAUGUCCUUUUAUUUUGGUAUUUGUUAGAUUGUUGAUUUAGUCUUACUACCAAGAUAUAGCAGUUGUAAAACAUGACCUGUGUUUAUGCUUAUUUCAGUUUCCUUUGUAAGGCUAUUUAAUAGCCAAGUCUGUUAUUCAAUGAAGUAUUGUAUGUGUGUGAUUUCCUCCAUCUCCUCUGUUUUCAGUCGAUGGUUUUCUAACAAUUGGUAUCAGAGCCUCAUAACAGGGGCCUGAUUCAAUAGAAGCAGCAGUCUUCUACGAGUGAUCUACAAAUGGCGACAGAGUUCGUUUGUACAGGCAGCCAUUCCAAAGUUUGAUGGGUAUUAUGAUCAUUGGGCGAUGCUCGUGGAGAACUUCUUCCGAUCAAAGGAGUAUUGGGGGUUGGUAGAAAGUAGAGUUCUUGCAGCAGCAAAAGAUGUUGUUCUCACUAAUGCACAGAAGCAACGUAUUAAAGAUCAGCAGUAGAAAGAUUUAAAAGCAAAGAACUAUCUAUUUCAGGCAUUAGAUCGUUCUAUCCUAGAGACGAUCCUUAACAAAAAAGACUUCGAAGGAUAUCUGGGACUCUUUGAAGUAGAAAUAUCAAGGUACAUCAUGAGUAAAGCGUGGAAAUCAGCAAGCUCUUCGAAAGGAGUUCGAAGUUCAUCAUAUGAAGACAGGAGAAAUUGUGAAAGAGUUUUUUUCUCGCACUUACCAUCGCCAACAAGAUGAAAUCAAAUGGUGAGGAUAAGAGUAGUACUGCUACUGUUGAGAAAAUUUUAAGGUCCAUGACUCCUAAGUUUAAUUAUGUUGUGUGCUCCAUUGAAGAAUCUAAAGAUAUUGAUGAGUUUAAUUACUUUAACCAUGAUGAGUUGCAAAGUAGCCUAAUUGUGCAUGAACAACGCAUGAGUUCCCAUGUUGAGGAAGAACAGGCCUUGAAGAUUACUCAUGGUGAUCACUCAGUAGGAAGAGGUCGUGGUCGUGGCAACUAUAGAGGAAGAGGAAGAGGUCAAAAUAGGAGGUCUAUUGAUAAGACUACAGUGGAAUGCUAUAAUUGUCACAGGACAUUUUGCAUGGGAAUGUCCAAGCAAAGAAACAGGGGCAAAUUAUGUAGAGAAUCAAGAAGAGAUGCUGUUAAUGACAUACGUGGAUCUGAACAAGGCUAGUAGAGAAGAUAUAUGAUUUCUAGACUUUGGAUGCAGCAAUCACAUGUGUGGAAAGAAGGAAUAUUUCUUAGAUCUUGAUGGAAAUUUUCGAGAUUCUGAGAAGCUUGGCAACAACACAAGUAUAGCUGUUCUAGGAAAAGGAAAUGUUAGGCUGCAAAUGAAUGGCAUAACUCAAAUCAUUACAAGUGUGUUCUAUGUACCCGAGCUGAAGAAUAAUCUACUAAGUAUUGGACAGUUGCAGGAAAAAGGUCUUACUAUUUUAUUUCAGCAUGGCAAGUGUAAGGUGUUCCAUUCACAUAAAGGUUUGAUUAUGGAUUCAAAAAUAUGAAUGUUUGUCAAGCUUUAUCUCAGCCUAAAUUAUCAUCUUGUUUCAACACAAUCACAGAAGAUAUUGAGCAGCUUUGGCAUUGUCGGUAUGGACAUUUAUGUUUUAAAGGUUUAAAGACUCUUCAACAAAAGCAAAUGGUAAAUACCACAACUUCAACCUCCCUCCAAGUUAUGCAAGGAUUCCUUGGUAGGGAAACAACACAGGGAUUCAUUUCCAAAAAGCAGUACCUGGCGAGCUGCAGAGAUUAUUCAGUUAGUGCAUGCAGACAUUUGUGGACCCAUUACACCCAUCUCUAACAGUAACAAAAGGUACAUACUUUCACUGAUGAUUUUUGUAGAAAAACAUGGGUUUAUUAUUUGGUAGAAAAAAAAUCAGAAUCCUUUACUGUUUUCAAGAAUUUUAAGACUCGUGUUGAGAAGGAAACUAGUUCUUUUCUGAAAAGCCUGCGAACUGAUCGAGGAGGUGAGUUUACAUCCCAGGAAUUUGUUAUUUUUUGUGAUGUAAGUGGCAUACGACAGUUAACGACAGCAUAUACACCACAACGGAAUGGUGUUGUCGAACGCAAGAAUAGAACUAUCAUGAAUAUGGUUUGAAGUAUUCUGGCAGCAAAGAAAAUUCCCAAGACUUUUUGGCCUGAAGCAGUAAAUUGGAUAGUGCAUGUUCUGAAUAGAAGUCCAACUUUUGCAGUUCAAAACAAGACUCCAGAAGAAGCUUGGGGUAAAGUUAAGCCUUCAGUUGAUUAUUUUAGAGUUUUUGGAGGCAUUUCUCAUGUUCAUAUUCCUGACAAUAAGAGAACUAAGCUGGAUGACAAGAGUUUCACUUGUGUUUUGUUGGGAGUUAGUGAAGAAUCAAAGGCUUACAGACUUUAUGAUCCAAUUUCACAAAAGAUUAUUAUCAAUAGAGAUGUUGUAUUCAAAGAAGACAAGCAUUGAGAUUGGGAUAAGAAGUAUGAAACAAAUAUUAUAUGUGAUUUGGAAUGGGAUGAUUCUGCAGAAGAAGUAAUUUUAAAUGAAGAAGAAAAUGAAUCCAAUGUUAAUGCUGAUGUAGAAGAAAAUACAGAAGUAAAUAAAGAUAUGGAGUUGCUGAAACAAAUUCUCAACUUGCCAUAAGAAAUCGCAGACCACCUGUUUGGAUGAGAAAUUAUGAAACUGGAGAAAGUUUUUCCGAGGAAGAAAAUGAAGUUCAACUUGCCAUGGUUGCAGUUACAGAUCCUAUUUAUUUUGAAGCAGCAGUUAAAAGUGAGAAAUGGAGGACAACAAUGGAUGUGGAUGUAAUAACCAAGAAUUUUAAGUCGCUUUGUAAAUAAAUAUAUUACUAAUAUUGAAAACUUUAUGGCAUAUAGUGAUUAAAUAUGUGUGAUGAUUAUGUGAUAGAAGACUAUGGCUAAAUACAUAUAUAUUGUGCGCAUGGAUAUGUGUAAUCACUAGUUAUGUUAUUAGAAUUAAAAAGGAAAGCUACAUAACCUAAUUAUACCCUAGGUAUGGUAAGUAAGUAACCUAAGGGUUAUAGCAUUGAGAAAUGUUAGUAUUUAAGAUUUAUACUAACCUAAAAGUUUAAGUUUAUUAUCUCAAGUGAUUAUUUAUUUUAAACUUAAUUAAAGCAAGCCUAAUUGGGUUAUAAGAUUAAUUGGACAUGAGUAAGUAUUUAAAUCCCGAAAGAUUGGGGAUAGAAACCCUAAAAAAAUAAUUAGGGUAAGAGAGAUUAAAAGUAAUGGACUAUGUUACCUACAUGGUCCAAAUAAUUAAUUAGGAAGCCCAAAAGAAUUAAAUUAGAAGUCCAAACUUUAGCCAUUUGACAAGGGACAUUUUGGACAUUUGAUUAAUCAAAAUUGGCAUUAAAAAUAAAGUCAAAAUGGGGCAAAAAUGGGAGGGCUGGCCCCUUAUGGCCAUUUUUGGCCUUGUGAUGCGAUAGUUAUCUUAUCAUUUAUGCUAAUUAAUCUCCUUAUCUACACUAACCCUUAUGUGUCAUGCUCCCAUUGGUUCAAAAUCUUAAUUAGGAUUACAUAUAAGGGUAUUUGCCUAAUGGUUUAAAGAAGUAUGGGGGAUAAUAGUAUAGAUAUAGAUUUUAUAUCUAUACUAAUAUACUAAUACCCUCAUUUCAUCUCAUUUCAUUUUCAUUCCAUCUCAUUCUCUUCCAAGCUAAAAGAAAGAAAAACAAAGAGAGAAAAGAGAGAGGGGAGGCCGGGGGUAUAGAGGGAGAAGAGAGAGUGGUUGCAAGCUUCAUGCAUCCUAAGUUCUUACAUUACUUUGGAAAGACAAGGAGGAUAGCUAACAAAUCAAGGUGAGCUUCUAAUCUAGUUCUUCUCCUCUUGUUUGAUUUUAUAUUCAAAGUUAUUGAGGGGAAUUGUUCUAAAGACUCAAAAACCCUUAGAUCUAUAUACUUCAUGUAAGGAUCUAAGCCUCUUGAGUGUUAGAAUAAUGAUCCAAAGGAAGAAAAUAAACUUAUGUUCCUUAAGGGUGAAAACCCUAGCUUUUUCUUCACUUGGAUCAUCUAUAAAUUGAGAUCUACACCUCCAAUUUGUGAUCCGUCAAAAGGUGGAGGUAGAUACAUAAGUUACCUAGUAAACCCAAGUGGUAGGACCCCAAACCACUGAUUUUUCCAGCCGUGGUGGCUGGUGGAGCCAAAACAGUCCACUAUAGAACAAAACUAGUAGACAGUUUCUGGCCACUUGCUACCAAGGGUAUUUCCAUCAACUUUCUGCACUUCAAAAAUUUUGAGAAAAAUCAGGAAGAUACCUUGAUGAGUUAUCUACAUUUAGGAAAAAGAAUGGACAGUUUUGGAUGUACAGAUUAGGAGUUAUGGACCUUACAAGAAAGGACUCUUUUAAAAUAAACAUGAAUAACUCCUUGUGUGUAACUCCAAAAAUAGUAAAAUUUUUACUGAAAGUACAUAUAUAUAACAAGAGCAUACCCUGAAAUUGUCAAGAUUGUUGGACAAAAACUCAAUUUAUUAAAACUGGUGCAAGAUCCGGCUGUUUUAGGCCCUUUAAAAAUAGUAAAUCAAGUUGAAAAAUUUUGAAAAAAUUUGGGAAACCUCUAGAUAUUAUAUUCUGUCAUAUUCCAGAAAAGAAACAUUUUUGGAACUGUUUUGAUAUUUUUCUUGUAAAUGGUUGUACAAUGAAUAAAUGGAAAUAAAUAGCUAUAUGAUGUCAUAAAUAGUAAAAAUAUGAUGUCAGAGCUUAGAAACCCUAGAUAUGUGGUAUGCUGAUUAUUGGAGGGUAUUUUGGUAAUUUGUGAUGUGAACUAAUAUUUAUGACCUUUUAGGGUUAUUAAAUAAAGGUAUUAAUAAAUGGUAAAUCAUUAAAAUAAAUUGUUUAAUUGGUUUAAUAAAUGAUUAAAAUAUUAUUAUGAUAUUAAUAAUAUUAGAAUAAGAUAUUUUUAAAUAAUCAAUAAUAUUUAGAUCAAGAUUGAAUUUAAAAUAGUAUUAAAUGAUUAAUAAUAUUAGAUUAAAGCAUUAAUAAAUGAUUAAGAUAUUAUUAAAUAAAAUAUUAUUAAAAGAUUAAUAUUAGAUUAAAGUAUUAUUAGAUGAUUAAAAUAUUAUUAAAUAAUUAAUAAUAUUCGAAAUUAAAUAAAAUGUUAUUAAAAGGUUAAUAAUAUUAGUAAAUGAAUAGAAUAUUAUUAAAUGGAUGAUAAUAUUAGAAAAAGAUUAAAAUAUUAUUAAAAGGUUAAUAAUAUUAGUAAAGUAAUAAAAUAUUAUUAAAUGAUUAAUAAUAUUAGUUAAGGAUUAAGAUUUUAUUAAAUGAUUAAUAAUAUUAGUAAAAGAAGCAAGUGUUAAAGAAUAUUAGAAAUUGAUUAAAACAUUAUUAAGAGGUUAAUAAUAUUAGUAAGAGAAUAAAGUAUUAUUAGUUGAUUAAUAAUACUAAGAAGUAAAUAAAAUAUUAUUAAGGGUAAUAAUAUUAGAUGAGUUAAGAUAAUGUUUACGUGAUAGUAAUAAGGGAUGAUAUUAUUACUAAGGAAUUAGUGUAAUGACUAAAUGUUCAAUAAAGAAUAAUGAUAUUAUAUGAUUUACUAAUUUGAAGAUUAAUCAUAGGUCUUUCAAAGGAAGAUAGAUUAAACUGCUUAGCCGGAUAAAUUUAAUUUCGUAGCAGUAGACCGCAAACGAGGCAAGUUCUAUAACUCAAACUCGAGUUAUUAUUUUCGAAGCAUGUUAGUGGAUAUUUAUUGUUGAUUACUCCACAUCCUUAAUGAUUAUUAUUAAUCGCACUUUGUGUAAUCGAAUUCCUGUUCUAUUAUUAUUGAACUGUGAAUUUAUUUGAAGUUCUUUCAUUCAUGAGUUGUUUAUAAGAUAGAUCUAUGCUAGUUGUAUCAGCUAGAUCAAGCAUGUUUAAAUGUGUUAAAACAAAUGUAUUUUAAGAGCUGUUCUUAAUCUAUUGUUGUGAUAAGAACUCUUGACUGGAAAAAAGAACAAUUUUAUUAAAGCAUGAUAUUGAAAAACAAUUGUUGCUCGAUUAUUAAGUGUUUAUGCAUAAGUCACCGGGUAUGAAAGGCUGAUCCCUUUGAUUACCAAAACUAAUUAAAAGGGCCAGUUUAAAUACUGACAACCUUAGUAUAUGUUCAUGGUUAUACCACUCGGUAUCUAUUAUUCAAUAUUCGAAUAUCCAAUUACUGAGAAUUACUUCAUGUUCGUUCGCAAUCGAUUCCUAUUGUUGAACCUUGAAAGCUAAAUUCCUUUCUAAUCAUGAUAUAUCCUCUUUGUAUUUAAACUUACUAAGCAAAUUAGUUGCUUACCCUUUUUAUAUCAUGACGUUUAUUUCAGCAAAGUCAGAGACGUCCAGGAGGGACAAGGGAAAGGGAAAAAUGCAAGAAUAGUCAAUGAGAUUGUUUAAGUGUUAUUUUAUUUUAUUGUAAUUUGAUUAAGUGAACCUUUUAUAAUAUUAAAGGUAUGUGUAAGUUAAGGUUAAUAGAACCCUGGGAUUAUGUUGCAACUUUAUUAUGAUGAACAAUAUAUGUUUAUUAUUUCGCAAUAGUUAUAGAACGUGUAUGUUGAGGAUGGAUCAUGAGCACUGGAUCCGAAGUUAGAGAAUUCAGAUUUGGGGGCGUCAUAGUGGAAAUGGAAGCGAUAAAGAAAAAUGGUACUUGGAAAUUAACAAAAUUACCUAAGGGAGGAAAGACAAUUAGAGUGAAGUGGGUUUAUAUGACCAAGUUAAAUGAAAAUGGAGAAAUAGAAAAGCACAAAGCUCGGCUUGCAGCGAAAGGUUACACACAACAAUAUGGGGUUGACUACACUGAAGUUUUUGCACCUGUGGCACGUAUGGAGACGAUCAGUUUAGUGAUUGCACUUGUAGCUCAAAAAGGGUGGUCCAUUUAUCAAUUGGAUGUCAAAUCUGCAUUCUUACAUGAUGAGUUGAAUGAAGAGGUCUUUGUGGAGCAGCCUUGUGGUUAUGUACAAAAGGGAAAUGAGCAAAAAGUUUACAAGCUAAAGAAGGCACUUUAUGGGCUUAAGCAAGCACCCCGUGCUUGGUACAACUGUAUAGAGGCCUAUUUCAUGAAAGAAGGUUUCGAGAAGUGUGACUACGAGCAUACUCUGUUCAUCAAGACGAGCAUAGAAGACAUUAUUAAUUAUAAGUCUCUACGUCGAUGAUCUCAUUUUUACUGUAAAUGAUGAAUUGAUGUUUACAGAGUUUAAAAAUUCCAUGAAUCAUGAGUUUGACAUGACAGAUCUUGGUAAGAUGAGAUACUUCCUUGGUCUUGAAGUCUUGCAAAGAUCUGAUGGUAUUUUUAUCUGUCAAAAGAAGUAUGCUUUGGAGGUGCUACAUAGGUUUGGAAUGGACAAAAGUAAUUCUGUUCAUAAUUUUAUUGUUCUUGGCUUUAAGCUCGUGAAGGAUAAAGGUGGAGUUAAGGUGAACAAGACUUACUAUAAACAGAUUAUGGGCAGUCUCAUUUAUCUAACAACUACUCGACCUAACAUGAUGUUUGUAGGGAGUCUUAUUAGUAGAUAUAUGGAAAAUCCUACUGGGUUUCAUUUACAGGCAACAAAAAAGGUGCUGCGAUAUUUGAAAGGAGCAACUGAGUUUGGAAUUUUCUAUAAGAAGGGAGGAGAUGAUGAACUUGUUGCGUACACUGAUAGUGAUUAUGCUAGAGAUUUGGAGGACGGUAAGAGUACUUCAGGCUAUGUGUUUUUAUUAAGUUCAGGAGCAGUAUCUUGGUCAUCAAAGAAACAACUAGUAGUAAGUCUAUCUACUACAAAGGCAGAGUUUAUUGAUACAGGUUCAUGUGCAUGCCAAGCAGUAUGGCUGAAAAGGGUGUUGGGAAAGCUGGAUCAAAAUCAAGGCAAGUCAUGUGUAAUUCAAUGUGAUAAUAGCUCUGCAAUCAAGCUUUCAAAGAAUCCUGUAAUGCAUGGUCGAAGCAAGCACGUAGAUGUUCGUUUUCAUUUUCUUCAAGAUCUUGCAAAGGAUGGAAUUGUGGAAUUGGUGCACUAUGAUACACAAGAUCAAUUGGCUGAUGUAAUGACUAAGCCACUUAAGUUGAAUACCUUUGUCAAGAUGCGAAAACAAUUGGGAGUCUGUUCUGAGAAUGAUAUAAACUGAACCUCAUAGCAUUCAGUUUAAAGGAGGAAAUGUUAGUUUUAUGUUUUAACUUAGUGGUCAAGUGGUUAGUUAUCACCACGUCUGUAAUGUCCUUUUAUUUUGGUAUUUGUUAGAUUGUUGAUUUAGUCUUAUUACCAUGAUAUAGCAGUUGUAAAAUGUGGCCUAUGUUUAUGCUUAUUUCAGUUUCCUUUGUAAGGCAAUUUAGUAGCCAAGUCUAUUAUUCAAUGAAGUAUUGUAUGUGUGUGAUUUCCUCCAUCUCCUCUGUUUUCAGUCUAUAGUUUUCUAACAAAAGAUACUUUUUCUAGUAUUCAGAUUAGGGGCACAGGGCGAUCGACCCUCCCGCCCGUGCUCAGGAACGGCUCUGCAGACAUUCAAUGAAGCAGAUGCAAAAGGGGAUGGAAGGAUUGAUCAAGAAGAGUGGAAGGAAUUUGAAUCAAAGAAUCCUUCUUUGUUAAAGAUUGAUUACACACACUUUUACUUCUUUUUUUGAAGAGGACAAAGGAUCAAUUAUUUAUUUGUGUGCAAAUUAGAAUGUCAUACACAAAGGAUCAAUUAUUUGUGUACAAAUGAAGUUGUUUAUUUGUGGAUAAAAAUCUGAUUUCUACAUCCUAAGGCACCACCAACCAUGAGCUGAUCUAGAUGGUAUCACCCCUUCAACCAAAAAAGAGAUGGUAUCCCUUUAACUUUGCACGACAAGAUCAGGAGUUCAAAUUUCAGAAAUGAUACUUAUCAUAAAUGAUUCUUAUCAUAAGGAAAACUCCACCGAAACAGAAGCAAUAACCAUAUAACAUAGCAGCAUAUCAACCACUGACAUCAAUGCUAAUGAAGUACUCAAUACAUAAGGAUCCACUGUUGACAUUACCAAUUUCUGUUGUAAAUACAAAACUUAAUCAAAUACCAAAAAGGCCUUUUUAGCAUAAAACCAUCAAACAGAAACAUCAAAGCAAUCUUUUAUCAUUACAAGUUCAAAUGGUAAUAAUUCAGUCCCACAAAUACAUUUAAGGUGCUAUCCCAGAAACAAAAUUCACUAAAAUUACAUUAGAAAAUUUUAAGGAAAAACCAUAACAGAAAAUAAAAGGAGUACAAUUAUAUACUUGUUAAUUAUCUUUUGAGUCAAAUUAUCAAACAUUUAGAAGACAAAAAUGGAGGAAACUCUAGCAAAGCAAACAAAAACCCAAGCAAUUAAUGAAAAUAAACAUGAAAUUGAUAGAGUAGAGCAUAUAUACAUAUCACAUAGAACGAAAAUGAUAAAUCAAGAUUCAAACAGCCCAUUCUAAGAAUUGAAAGCUAGAUUCAAGUGCUAAUUAUAGUACGUAGAUCAAUUGGAUAUGAUAACGAGAUUGGGAAAGAUAUUGAACGAGAAUGAUGAAGAGAACCAGAUUGAUAAUACCUUUAUUCUCCUUCAGCGAUUUGCUCGAUCAAUUGGAUAUUUGAACGAGAUUGGCUUGCUUCUUCAAUCGGUGGGAGAAAGGUAGGGAUAGAAGGUACCGUGAAGAGAAGCCGAGAGGUGAGACUGAGAAGUUCGAUCGAUUUGCACGAUAGAAGAGGAUAAAAUCGGGUGAAUGAAGUCGGGAAUCAAAUAUACCCACCUAUUUAGAAGGAAUGAAAAAUAACAUUCAGAUUUGGGAAUUACUUAAAGAAUGACUAAUUAAACAUGUUUUAAGUCAUC